rnacentral:rRNA from 1 species
GACGAACGCUGGCGGCGUGCUUAACACAUGCAAGUCGAACGGAAAGGCCUCUUUCGGGGGGUACUCGAGUGGCGAGCGGGUGAGUAACACGUGAGUAACCUGCCCUUGACUUUGGGAUAACUUCAGGAAACUGGGGCUAAUACCGGAUAGGAGCUCCUGCUGCAUGGUGGGGGUUGGAAAGUUUCGGCGGUUGGGGAUGGACUCGCGGCUUAUCAGCUUGUUGGUGGGGUAGUGGCUUACCAAGGCUUUGACGGGUAGCCGGCCUGAGAGGGUGACCGGCCACAUUGGGACUGAGAUACGGCCCAGACUCCUACGGGAGGCAGCAGUGGGGAAUAUUGCACAAUGGGUGGAAGCCUGAUGCAGCAACGCCGUGUGCGGGAUGACGGCCUUCGGGUUGUAAACCGCUUUCGCUCAUGACGAAGCUUUGUGUGACGGUAGUGGGUAAAGAAGCACCGGCUAACUACGUG